rnacentral:rRNA from 1 species
UACGGGGGGGGCAAGCGUUGUUCGGAAUUACUGGGCGUAAAGGGCUCGUAGGCGGCCAACUAAGUCAGACGUGAAAUCCCUCGGCUUAACCGGGGAACUGCGUCUGAUACUGGAUGGCUUGAAUCCGGGAGAGGGAUGCGGAAUUCCAGGUGUAGCGGUGAAAUGCGUAGAUAUCUGGAGGAACACCGGAGGCGAAGGCGGCAUCCUGGACCGGCAUUGACGCUGAGGAGCGAAAGCCAGGGGAGCAAACGGG